CGUCGUGCGAGGAGCGUCGCCGCGCGUUCCUUUUCCGUGAAAAGUCUUCCUGGAGGAUAAAAAAAGAGUCCGGUAACGAUAAAAGAGAUCCAGUUCUUAACACGCUGUCUGCGAGGUUUAUUUUGUUUUUCUUUUUCCAUUCACCUUCGUGUUUUCUCGACGACGAUAACGACGGUGGGUGCGAGUUUUUGCUAUUAGUUCCGUAUCUGUGCUGAAAUAAUAUUAUGGGUGUAUAAAAAUUGAAUCGUGAUAAACGCCGAAACGUUUUUGUAUGUACCGGAGGUGCGUUUGAGACGGUAAAGAUUUUGCAACCUCCGGGUGUGAUUUGCAUUCGCGUUCAGAGCCUCGACGAGGAUUUAUUCGCUCGAUUAGCCAGUGAGCAGACUAGAUUUGUGAUGGAUUUGUGGUGACCGGUCAGCAUCAAACGUCGUAUUCGAAACCGUUUGAUUUUGUGUUUUAGUUGAGCCGAAAGGCUCGAGUUUGUUGUUGAGUUCGCGUUCUUUCGCUCGUUCGUUCGUUCGAAGUCAGUGAAUGGAAGAAGAGAAGACGGAAGUUUUUACGACCUUCGCUUCGCGUGGAACAAAGACUCCCGGCUGACUCGGCACCGUUUUAUCGAUUCAGCUCUCUCUCUAUCUACGUAAUAUGACCGGAUACCGCUGUAUAAUCCUAUCUUAGUGAAAACUGACUCGAGGUGCAAGACGCCAGCUUUACGGGAACCGCGUUCUGCGACUGUCAAAAAUCGAGUCAGGAUGCAGGGGCGUCGAUCACGGAAGUGUCCCAAGUCGAGGCGAUGACUUGUCCGGAUGGAGACCGACGAAGGUGCGGAGCCCCCUGGGGCUUGGAUCAACUUCCUGUUUCCUGCCAACAUGUUAACGGACCGACGAGACGCGCCACUUGAAUCCUAACUUAAACUUAAAGUUCAGCAUCGAUUCCCCCCUGAACACGUGUCCCAGCGAAUUGAUUUAACCGGGACGAACCCAGAUGACCUACUUCUGGUGCAUAGCCGACGAAUUUUCCUCAAAUUCAUUUAUUUCCGGCGGAAUCGAACCGUGAAACAAAUUCGAUUGAAAUUGAUGACGUACCGUCGUCACUUCAAAGGAUAACUGAAAAAUAGUUAUGCUUCAGACGGUGAUUAAGAAGGGAUAAA